AGUGGCGGACGGGUGAGUAACGCGUGAGAAUCUGCCUUGGGGUCGGGGACAACCACUGGAAACGGUGGCUAAUACCGGAUAAGCCGAUUGGUGAAAGAUUUAUUGCCCGAAGAGGAGCUCGCGUCUGAUUAGCUAGUUGGUGAGGUAAGAGCUCACCAAGGCAGCGAUCAGUAGCUGGUCUUAGAGGACGAUCAGCCACACUGGGACUGAGACACGGCCCAGACUCCUACGGGAGGCAGCAGUGGGGAAUUUUCCGCAAUGGGCGAAAGCCUGACGGAGCAAGACCGCGUGAGGGAGGAAGGCUCUUGGGUUGUAAACCUCUUUUCUCAGGGAAGAAGCUCUGACGGUACCUGAGGAAUCAGCCUCGGCUAACUCCGUGCCAGCAGCCGCGGUAAUACGGAGGAGGCAAGCGUUAUCCGGAAUUAUUGGGCGUAAAGCGUCCGCAGGUGGCGAUUCAAGUCUGCUGUCAAAGCACGGGGCUUAACUCCGUAAAGGCAGUGGAAACUGAAUAGCUAGAGUGCCGUAGGGGUAGAGGGAAUUCCCGGUGUAGCGGUGAAAUGCGUAGAGAUCGGGAAGAACAUCGGUGGCGAAAGCGCUCUACUGGACGGCAACUGACACUCAGGGACGAAAGCUAGGGGAGCGAAUGGGAUUAGAUACCCC
rnacentral:rRNA from 1 species